rnacentral:rRNA from 1 species
AUGAACGCUGGCGGCGUGCCUAAUACAUGCAAGUCGCGCGAACAGACGAGGAGCUUGCUCCUCUGACGUUAGCGGCGGACGGGGUAGUAACACGUGGAUAACCUACCUAUAAGACUGGGAUAACUUCGGGAAACCGGAGCUAAUACCGGAUAAUAUAUUUAACCGCAUGGGUCAAUAGUGAAAGACGGUUUUGCUGUCACUUAUAGAUGGAUCCGCGCCGCAUUAGCUAGUUGGUAAGGUAACGGCUUACCAAGGCGACGAUGCGUAGCCGACCUGAGAGGGUGAUCGGCCACACUGGAACUGAGACACGGUCCAGACUCCUACGGGAGGCAGCAGUAGGGAAUCUUCCGCAAUGGGCGAAAGCCUGACGGAGCAACGCCGCGUGAGUGAUGAAGGUCUUCGGAUCGUAAAACUCUGUUAUUAGGGAAGAACAAAUGUGUAAGUAACUAUGCACGUCUUGACGGUACCUAAUCAGAAAGCCACGGCUAACUACGUG